GAGAGCUUUACCGAAGGGUGGGCCCCACGCAGGCGGUGUCGGUGCUCUCGAUCUCCUGCAAGAUCCGCUCGUGCUCCGGGACGGUGCCCAGACCCUCGCCAUUCUCCGCCAUCUUGGCUGGAAGCUGAGGAGCCGGUUCCAGGGAUGAGGAUGUGAACCUUUUGGGGGAGCCAUUAUUUUGCCUGCCACAUACAGAAUCAACAUGUGACUGAUCUGAGUACACACUGGCUUAGAAGAUCAAGGAAGCUCUGCUACAUCCAACUGCCCAUUCUGCCAAGAAACCCCAUCAGAAGCCUAUUUCUACUGUCUCAAUGGUACAGAAGAAUCCAUAUCUUCUCUGGGAAAUCACACUUUCUCAAGAUGUAAAAAUAUGCCAAAAGAAAAAAAAAAGUCUUCCUGAGGCCACCAGCACUGUCACACUAUGUUAAAGACCUGACGUUCAGAGAUGACUUUUUUUUUUUUAAUUUUGCAAUUUUGUAUAGUUCCCCCUUGGAGUUCUGCAUGUGGCUGAGAGAAAGGGGUUUUGAAACCAGACAAUGCUGAAGAUCAGAAGCCACUGGAAAGAAUUCAGGAUGAGUUAGAAAGGAGCAUUCCAAACAGUUCUGAGCAUGAGGCAAGAAUUUGAUUAAUCUGUGAUUGGUAACAAUUUGGAAUUAUAU